AGAAAGUGCCGGCAGACUAACACAUGCAGUCGAGCGGUAGCACAAGAGAGCUUGCUCUCUGGGUGACGAGCGGCGGACGGGUGAGUAAUGUCUGGGAAACUGCCUGAUGGCGGGGGAUAACUAGUGGAAACGGUAGCUAAUACCGCAUAACGUCGCAAGACCAAAGUGGGGGACCUUCGGGCCUCACGCCAUCAGAUGUGCCCAGGUGGGAUUAGCUGGUAGGUGGGGUAACGGCUCACCUAGGCGACGAUCCCUAGCUGGUCUGAGAGGAUGACCAGCCACACUGGAACUGAGACACGGUCCAGACUCCUACGGGAGGCAGCAGUGGGGAAUAUUGCACAAUGGGCGCAAGCCUGAUGCAGCCAUGCCGCGUGUGUGAAGAAGGCCUUCGGGUUGUAAAGCACUUUCAGCGAGGAGGAAGGGUAAUGUGUUAAUAAGACAUUGCAACAACCUUUUUUUUUU
rnacentral:rRNA from 1 species